rnacentral:rRNA from 1 species
AUUGAACGCUAGCGGGAUGCUUUACACAUGCAAGUCGAACGAGCGGCGGACGGGUGAGUAAUGUAUGGGGACUGCCCGAUAGAGGGGGAUAACUACUGGAAACGGUAGCUAAUACCGCAUACUAUCGGAUAACCCAUAUGGGAUUAGCUAGUAGGUGAGGUAAUGGCGCACAUAGGCGACGAUCCCUAGCUGGUCUGAGAGUAUGAUCAGCCACACUGGAACUGAGACACGGCCCAGACUCCUACGGAGGCAGCAGUGGGGAAUAUUGCACAAUGGGCGCAAGCCUGAUGCAGCCAUGCCGCGUGUAUGAAGAAGGCCUUAGGGUUGUAAAGUACUUUCAGUCGGGAGGCGUUACCGACAGAAGAAGCACCGGCUAACUCCGUGCCAGCAGCCGCGGUAAUUC